UACGUAGGGGGCCGAGCGUUGUCCGGAGUUAUUGGGCGUAAAGCGCGCGCAGGCGGCUUCGCGCGCCCCGACGUGAAAGCCCCCGGCUUAACCGGGGAGAGUCGUUGGGGACGGCGGGGGCUUGAGUACGAGAGAGGUGAGUGGAAUUCCCAGUGUAGAGGUGAAAUUCGUAGAUAUUGGGAAGAACACCAGUGGCGAAGGCGGCUCAACUGGCUCGUAACUGACGCUCAGGCGCGACAGCGUGGGGAUCAAACAGG
rnacentral:rRNA from 1 species